AGGACGAACGCUGGCGGCGUGCUUAACACAUGCAAGUCGAGCGGAAAGGCCCUUCGGGGUACUCGAGCGGCGAACGGGUGAGUAACACGUGAGUAAUCUGCCCUUCACUUGGGGAUAACCUCCGGAAACGGUGGCUAAUACCCGAUACGACCUCCGACCGCAUGGUCUGGUGGUGGAAAGUUUUUUCGGUGGAGGAUGUGCUCGCGGCCUAUCAGCUUGUUGGUGGGGUAAUGGCCUACCAAGGCUUCGACGGGUAGCCGGCCUGAGAGGGUGACCGGCCACACUGGGACUGAGACACGGCCCAGACUCCUACGGGAGGCAGCAGUGGGGAAUAUUGGACAAUGGGCGGAAGCCUGAUCCAGCAACGCCGCGUGAGGGAUGAAUGCGUUCGGUUGUAACCUCUUUCAGUACCGACGAAGCGCAAGUGACGGUAGGUACAGAAGAAGCACCGGCCAACUACGUGCCGAGCAGCCGAC
rnacentral:rRNA from 1 species